GAUUUCUGACCUGAAACAUUUUGCCGGCCGCGGUUUCGCGUGUUAGUGCUUGAUGUUCUGGCCAUCCUUCCAAUUGCUAUUCAUCUUUCUUCAUUGAUGGGUGGAUGGUGUUGGAUCUUUUACUUUGAAAAAAUUAGAGUGUUUCAAGCAGGCUUAAUGCUAUGAAUACAUUAGCAUGGAAUAAUAAUUUAGGACUUCGGUUCUAUUUUGUUGGUUUCUAGGACUGAAGUAAUGAUUGAUAGGGAUAGUUGGGGGUGCUAGUAUUCAGCGGCCAGAGGUGAAAUUCUCGGAUUCGCUGAAGACUAACUUAUGCGAAAGCAUU
rnacentral:rRNA from 1 species